AUUGAACGCUGGCGGCAGGCCUAACACAUGCAAGUCGAACGGUAACAGGAAACAGCUUGCUGUUUCGCUGGCGAGUGGCGGACGGGUGAGUAAUGUCUGGGAAACUGCCUGAUGGAGGGGGAUAACUACUGGAAACGGUAGCUAAUACCGCAUAACGUCGCAAGACCAAAGAGGGGGACCUUCGGGCCUCUUGCCAUCGGAUGGGCCCAGAUGGGAUUAGCUAGUAGGUGGGGUAACGGCUCACCUAGGCGACGAUCCCUAGCUGGUCUGAGAGGAUGACCAGCCACACUGGAACUGAGACACGGUCCAGACUCCUACGGGAGGCAGCAGUGGGGAAUAUUGCACAAUGGGCGCAAGCCUGAUGCAGCCAUGCCGCGUGUAUGAAGAAGGCCUUCGGGUUGUAAAGUACUUUCAGCGGGGAGGAAGGGAGUAAAGUCAAUACCUUUGCUCAUUGACGUUACCCGCAGAAGAAGCACCGGCUAACUCCGUGCCAGCAGCCGCAGUAA
rnacentral:rRNA from 1 species